UACGUAGGUGGCAAGCGUUGUCCGGAUUUACUGGGCGUAAAGAGCGCGCAGGCGGUCGGAUAAGUCGAAUGUGAAAGCCCCCGGCUCAACUGGGGAGGGUCAUUCGAUACUGUUCGACUCGAAGGCAGGAGAGGGAAGUGGAAUUCCGCGUGUAGUGGUGAAAUGCGUAGAGAUGCGGAGGAACACCAGUGGCGAAAGCGACUUUCUGGUCCUUAACUGACGCUGAGGCGCGAAAGCAUGGGGAGCGAACGGG
rnacentral:rRNA from 1 species